CACACGCACACACACACACAGAGUCAGACACGACUGAGCGAUUAACACACAGACACACACACAUCCCAUAACAUGGUUGUGGUCCUGGACCAAGACCUAAGUAGAUUCCCUCAAAUGCUAUCCCACUUAGAGGAGUAUGGAUUCUAGAAACACCUAUUCUGACAAGAAGCCAUAGAUUAAAAAAAAAAAUUUAAGUUUACACCUUAAAUAGCUUCGGGUUAAAUGUGAUUAAGGAGGGAAAUUAUGAAGAGAGAAGGCAGGAAAUUUUUUUCUCAGUGGACUUGUAUUUCAUUUCUAAAACUGGGGCAGUUGCUUCUCUUACUAACAUGUCAUGCAAGUAUUUUCUUAGGGAACUGGGGACAAAAAUUCCAAUUCUGAGCAAUAGAAGAUUGAAGACUAAGUGACUUUACUAUUUUAAAAAUAACUUUUUCCAAGGAUAAAAACAAUCUAUGUCCAUUAUAAGAAAUUAGGGAUGAAUUAAUGAGUUCCACACUGGGGAAGAUGUGAUGGUAAGAUUCUCUAUUCAUUUUUUAAGAGUGAAAAAAUGGUUUGAAAGAACUGAGGCAGUUUUCAUAUGUUUGACUUGUAGGGAGGGGCCAAGCAGAAUGUUGAGCCUUCCUGCAAGGCUGAGGUUGCUCUGUUUAUGACUUGGCUCAGAAGACUGUCACAAGGGUUUAUGGAUUAAGAAUCUGGGAGGCAGCAGUGUUACUACUAUUAGGUACAUUUGGCCCAUGGUGUUACUAAAUUAGAUUCAUUUGGCCCACCCGCCCCAAAUUAAAAAUAAGGUUUACAGCUGAGAAGGAGUAUAUUGACAAAGCAAUCAAGCGGGGAGACUGGAAAACAAGUCCCUGAGCUGCCUCCCUGAAGGUGUGGGGGUGGGGAUAUUUAUGGACUGAGAAGGGUGGUCUUAGGGGAAGAGGUGAAGUUGAUUGGAGGCAGGGGAAAAGGUGAGGUAAUUGGUGUUCUACACAGGUGUAUCUAGAUUAGAUGUUUCUGCAUAUCAAAAUGGAGGCUCUGAGCCAUGAUUGGAGAAUGGAGUUUUCUUUUUUUUUUAAUUUUAUUUUAUUUUUAAACUUUACAUAAUUGUAUUAGUUUUGCCAAAUAUCAAAAUGAAUCCGGGGAAUGGAGUUUUCAAGUCCUCUGAUGUCACCAGGUGAGGGUUAAGACGUCCACGCAGGCUCAGUUUUGGGGCCUGUGGUCUCAACCUGCCCCAGCUGGCCUGCAUUGGACAGGAGCUGACUACAGGUUCCUGUAAUCCAAGUGGACUGUAUGAAGCUGGGAAGAUCUGUCUUCAGAAGGGCUGCCCUUGACUGGUUCCUGGAAGAUGACUACUCUGAGUCCUUGGAAGAUCCUGCCUGAAAAGAGUAUUUUUGUAUUUCUGAGGCCUUGGGUCACGCUGUAUCAGUUCAACCGGACAGUUAAUGCCAACAACGUGACUUACAGUGAAUAACAUUUCUGUUUGCCUGAAGACUUGGGCUGCAUUGUAUUACUUUGGGUCUGCAGACUGAGUAGCUCAGGUCAGGUGUUGCAUGCCUAUAUGACUGACCCUUGUAAAAACUCUAGACACCAACGCCAUUUCCUUGGUGACCUUCCCUGGCUGGUACUGUCACCUGCACUGGGAGGAGAGUUAAGCAUUGUCUUUGCAACUCAACUGUGAAAAAUUAACGGAGAGCUUGCCACUGUUUUCCCCUCGACUCCACUUGUGUGCCUCUUUCCCUGUUGAUUUUAUUUAAUCUAUAUCUUCUGCUGUAAUAAACCAUAACCAUGAAUAUAA